rnacentral:rRNA from 1 species
UCCUCCAAGGCUAAAUACUCCUGACUGACCGAUAGUGAACCAGUACCGUGAGGGAAAGGCGAAAAGAACCCCGGCGAGGGGAGUGAAAAAGAACCUGAAACCGUGUACGUACAAGCAGUGGGAGCACCCUUUGGGUGUGACUGCGUACCUUUUGUAUAAUGGGUCAGCGACUUAUAUUCUGUAGCAAGGUUAACCGAAUAGGGGAGCCGGAGGGAAACCGAGUCUUAACCGGGCGUUAAGUUGCAGGGUAUAGACCCGAAACCCGGUGAUCUAGCCAUGGGCAGGUUGAAGGUUGGGUAACACUAACUGGAGGACCGAACCGACUAAUGUUGAAAAAUUAGCGGAUGACCUGUGGCU